rnacentral:rRNA from 1 species
CAUGCUUCCAGGAAAAGCCACUAAGCUUCAGCUACACACGACCGUACCGCAAACCGACACUGGUGCGCGAGAUGAGUAUUCUAAGGCGCUUGAGAGAACUCUGGAGAAGGAACUCGGCAAAUUGACACCGUAACUUCGGAAGAAGGUGUGCCUUUAGUAGGUGAACCAGUACAUGGGGAGCCCAAUGAGGCCGCAGAGAAUCGGUGGCUGCAACUGUUUAAUAAAAACACAGCACUCUGCAAAGACGAAAGUCGACGUAUAGGGUGUGACGCCUGCCCGGUGCUGGAAGAUUAAAUGAUGGGGUGCAAGCUCUUGACUGAAGUCCCAGUAAACGGCGGCCGUAACAAUAACGGUCCUAAGGUAGCGAAAUUCCUUGUCGGGUAAGUUCCGACCUGCACGAAUGGCGUAACGAUGGCCACACUGUCUCCUCCAGAGACUCAGCGAAGUUGAAAUGUUUGUGAUGAUGCAAUCUCCCCGCGGAAAGACGGAAAGACCCCAUGAACCUUUACUGUAGCUUUACAUUGGACUUUGAACAGAUCUGUGUAGGAUAGGUGGGAGGCUUUGAAGCGGUGCCGCUAGGUGUCGUGGAGCCAACCUUGAAAUACCACCCUGGUGUGUUUGAGGUUCUAACCUUGGCCCGUGAUCCGGGUUGGGGACAGUGUAUGGUGGGCAGUUUGACUGGGGCGGUCUCCUCCCAAAGUGUAACGGAGGAGUUCGAAGGUACGCUAAAUACGGUCGGAAAUCGUGUUGAUAGUGCAUAGGCAUAAGCGUGCUUGACUGCGAGACUGACAAGUCGAGCAGGUACGAAAGUAGGACAAAGUGAUCCGGUGGUUCUGUAUGGAAGGGCCAUCGCUCAACGGAUAAAAGGUACUCUGGGGAUAACAGGCUGAUACCGCCCAAGAGUUCAUAUCGACGGCGGUGUUUGGCACCUCGAUGUCGGCUCAUCUCAUCCUGGGGCUGUAGCCGGUCCCAAGGGUAUGGCUGUUCGCCAUUUAAAGAGGUACGUGAGCUGGGUUUAAAACGUCGUGAGACAGUUUGGUCCCUAUCUUCCGUGGGCGCUGCAAGAUUGAGAGAGCCUGCUCCUAGUACGAGAGGACCGGAGUGGACGCACCUCUGGUGUAUCGGUUGUCACGCCAGUGGCAUUGCCGAGUAGCUAAGUGCGGAAGAGAUAACCGCUGAAAGCAUCUAAGCGGGAAACUCGUCUCAAGAUGAGUCUUGCCGGGGCCUUGAGCCCCCUGAAGGGUCGUUCGAGACCAGGACGUUGAUAGGCUGGGUGUGGAAGCGCAGUAAUGCGUUAAGCUAACCAGUACUAAUUGCCCGUGAGGCUUGACCCU